GAUGAACGCUAGCGGCAGGCCUAAUACAUGCAAGACGAACGGUAAGUUGAGUAGCAAUACUUGACCUAGAGUGUCGCACGGGUGCGUAACACGUAUGCAACCUACCCAUAACAGGAGGAUAGCUCCCCGAAAGGGGAAUUAACCCUCCAUAGUAAUAUUGGAUGGCAUCAUUUGAUAUUUAAAACUCCGGUGGUUAUGGAUGGGCAUGCGUCUGAUUAGUUAGUUGGCGGGGUAAUGGCCCACCAAGACGAUGAUCAGUAGGGGAACUGAGAGGUUGAUCCCCCACACUGGCACUGAGAUACGGGCCAGACUCCUACGGGAGGCAGCAGUAGGGAAUAUUGGUCAAUGGAUGGAAGUCUGAACCAGCCAUGCCGCGUGCAGGAAGAAGGCCUUAUGGGUUGUAAACUGCUUUUGCCAGGGGAUAAAAUAGCUGUGCGCAGCGAAUUGCAGGUACCUGGUGAAUAAGCCACGGCUAACUACGUGCCAGCAGCCGCGGUAAUACGUAGGUGGCAAGCGUUGUCCGGAUUUAUUGGGUUUAAAGGGUGCGUAGGCGGCCCUGUAAGUCAGUGGUGAAAUACUCCAGCUUAACUGGAGGGGUGCCAUUGAUACUGCAGGGCUUGAGUAAAGUUGAAGUUGGCGGAAUUGACGGUGUAGCGGUGAAAUGCUUAGAUAUCGUCAAGAACACCGAUAGUGAAGACAGCUAACUAAGCUUUAACCGACGCUGAGGCGCGAAAGUGUGGGGAUCAAACAGGAUUAGAUACCCUGGUAGUCCACACUGUAAACGUUGAUGACUCGCUGUUGGCGAUACACAGCCAGCGGCCAAGCGCAAGCGAUAAGUCAUCCACCUGGGGAGUACGCCGGCAACGGUG
rnacentral:rRNA from 1 species